UACGAAGGAUGCGAGCGUUAUCCGGAUUUAUUGGGUUUAAAGGGUGCGUAGGUGGCCUAUUAAGUCAGGGGUGAAAGACGGUAGCUUAACUAUCGCAGUGCCCUUGAUACUGAUGGGCUUGAAUACACUAGAGGUAGGCGGAAUGUGACAAGUAGCGGUGAAAUGCAUAGAUAUGUCACAGAACACCAAUUGCGAAGGCAGCUUACUAUGGUGCGAUUGACGCUGAGGCACGAAAGCGUGGGGAUCAAACAGG
rnacentral:rRNA from 1 species